GGCGCUGUAGCUCAGUUGGAUAGAGCGACAGGCUGUUAACCUGUAGGUCAUCGGUUCGAUCCCGAUCAGUGCCG
rnacentral:tRNA from 1 species